UUUUGCAACUCGUCUAUGAAUUACAAAGGCAAUGUUUACCGUGACCUAAUGUCUGUGACUGUUGUUUUAUUACUCCGUCGUAGGCUAAUAUACGAAGGCCCGUUCUCUGUCGUUUUCUAUAGUCUGAGUGCAAAGACUGAAACACAUUCUUGGCACAAGUGGAAGCGCUGACAGAGUCGUCGGUCAGUGUAAGGAGAAAACGAAAGCAGUGAUCCAGUGGCGGAAGCUUCAUAAUGCCCCCGACCUGAUCAACUUCUCCAAACUAGGGAAUCGAGAAACAUUCCAUGUGAUUACAAUGUAACAGCUGCUACAAUAAAGGGGAAAAAGAUAGCCUAUACGAAUGGAUUGUUUGUCCAGUUUGAGAGGAUUUAAUAACGACUGAUUCAGGCAUGUGAACAUGGAUUAAAAAUGACAAAUGCAUCUUCUUGGAACUUCUGUUUUGGCUUUCUUUCUUCUGCCUCUUGUCUUCUCCUGCGAAAGUACUAAAUCAAAAAACGAGAUUUCUCGGGAUUACGAAAAUGUCAUUGCCAAACAGAUGCGGCAUAUUAACACCAGUAUUGAGAACCAACUGAAGAGGACUUGCAAGAAGAGGGAAAUUAAUAUGUCGCAUAAGGCAAACAAUGCAAAAUAUCACAUACACAAUGUGUCCUGUAAUCUUAUAACAAAGAAUUUGCCAGGAGAUCUGGAAAUGGAACUGACAAAUCUAGUGAAUGGGAUAAAUGCCUCUCUUGGAUGCCAAUGUCCUACACAGCAGGCAGGCCGGGGGAAAAAAACUUUACACAGGAAGCUUUGCAAACUGAAACACUCCCUUGUAAUAAUACAGCAAGCUUAUGAACAAUACAAUUCUGCACCAUAAGUGUGGAGCCCGUUUCCAUAGUGACACCUGAUGAAAGACAUUCAAGCUACAACAAAAACAAACAAAACCAAAAGCAGCAGCAGCAUGGUUCACUAAUGGCAGCAAUUCUAAGAGAUGAAGAGCACACAAGUGCAUAAAGAGACUAAACAGCUUUUGUCAAUAAGAGGGUGACAGUCUGUUUCUGCACGAUAGACCAGAAUCCCUUUUGGUAAAGAUACUUUGGUGGUUUCACUUAUAAACAGGUGCUUUCGGCAACAUUCCAUGUUUGUAAUCGUAUACUUAAAGCUUUGGAUGUCCACUUAACUCUGAUGUCCACUUACAGACGUCUUCUUACAGUGUACUGCAUGUCAAGUCAGGUUUACGCCUGUAAUUUUGCUGAAUUAACUGUAAAACCAUUUGCAUGUUUUAAACACAGUGCAGCCUUUCAGUUUCUACAUUAAUGGUUAUACUCACAAAACUGCUGAAACAAUCAAUAUUCUAUGAUGUGUAUGAUGUUUAUCACUACUUCUACAUGAAUAAAUAUAUUUUUA